UGGGCAUAUGUAUUCCUCCUCUGG
rnacentral:siRNA from 1 species